rnacentral:misc_RNA from 1 species
UCUCCGUUGGUGAACCAGCGGAGGGAUCAUUACAGGAUCGAAAGACUCCUAUAACCCCUGUGAACUUACUACAAAUACGUUGCUUCGGCGGGUGCCCCGGGUCUCCCGGGGCGUUCAGCCCGCCGGCAGCCUUCAAAUUCUGUUUCUUUGCGUUGGCAUCUCGAGCAUACAAAAAUAAGUUAAAACUUUCAACAACGGAUCUCUUGGUUCUG